UUUUCGGUGGUGGUGGUGAGCGGGCUUUUCGUCGGCCUCCCCCCCCCUCCAACGGCACCGCCUGAUCCACGCCGCCCUCAGCGCCGAACUGGCCGGCCCCCUGCACGCCCUCGCCAUCGUCGCCAAGACCCCCCAGCAGUGGGAACAAGACCCCCACGUCCCCCCCCGGCCCCCCUGCCUGGGGGGGUCCAAGCACGAGCGGCGCGGGGCCGGCGACGCCGCUUCGGCGUGAUGCUGAGCCCCUAAAUGGGGGUUUUGGGGGGGUUUUGGUCGUUUUAGGGUUUUUUUGGGGGUCGUUUUUAGGGUAUGGAGGAUCUGGGGGCGCAGCUUUUGGGGUGACCCCCCCCACACACCCAGCCCGCGCUGCGCCUUCCCAUUGAUCCCCUCCUAAAUUUUGGGGGGCGAUUUGGGGGAUUUUCAAUCCACUCCCAAAUUUUUUUGGGGGGCGAUUUGGGGGAUUUUCAAUCCCUCCCAAAUUUUUGGGGUUGAUUUGGGGGAUUUUCAAUCCCCUCCCAAAUUUUUUGGGGGGGCAAUAUGGAGGAUUUUCAAUCCCCUCCCAGAUUUUUGGGGGCAAUUUGGGGGAUUUUCAAUCCAAUCCCAAUUUUUGGGGGGGGGGGCGAUUUGGGGGAUUUUCAAUCCCCUCCCAAAUUUUUGGAGGAUUUUCAAUCCCCUCCCAAAUUUUGGGGGGUGAUUUGGGGGAUUUUCAAUCCCCUCCCAAAUUUUUGGAGGAUUUUCAAUCCCCUCCCAAAUUUUUGGGGAUUUUCAAUCCCCUCCCAAAUUUUGGGGGGCGAUUUGGGGGAUUUUCUCCACGCCACCUUCAAGGCGUCCACCUCUUGCCCCCCCCCCCAUGUAAAUCUUCCCCCCCCCCAACCCUCAUCACGCCCCCCCGCAUCCCAAACCCCGACCCCAAAAAUAAACAGCUCCUGGUCCUGAUCCGAAGCGGCUCCGCUGGGUGUUAUUGGGGUAACACGGCGUAAGGGGGGGGGGGGGAUUUCAUUAUUUUUUUUGUCGUUUCCGUGGUUUUCAUCAUUUUUGUUGUUUUUUUUCUUUAAUUCUUUACAAACAUCUAAAAACUACAGCACGGCACGAACUGCAUACGGACAGAACUAGGGGUGUGCUCCGAGAAAAAGACCAGCUACAGCGAAAUGGGGGGGGGGCGCGAGGAAGAGGAGGAGGAGGAGGAGGAGGAAGA
rnacentral:lncRNA from 1 species